AGAGUUUGAUUAUGGCUCAGGACGAACGCUGGCGGCGUGCUUAACACAUGCAAGUCGAGCGAUGAAGCUCUUCGGAAGUGGAUUAGCGGCGGACGGGUGAGUAACACGUGGGUAACCUGCCUCAUAGAGGGGAAUAGCCUUCCGAAAGGAAGAUUAAUACCGCAUAAGAUUGUAAUAUCGCAUGAUAUAGCAAUUAAAGGAGUAAUCCGCUAUGAGAUGGACCCGCGUCGCAUUAGCUAGUUGGUGAGGUAACGGCUCACCAAGGCGACGAUGCGUAGCCGACCUGAGAGGGUGAUCGGCCACAUUGGGACUGAGACACGGCCCAGACUCCUACGGGAGGCAGCAGUGGGGAAUAUUGCACAAUGGGGGAAACCCUGAUGCAGCCAACGCCGCGUGAGUGAUGACGGUCUUCGGAUUGUAAAGCUCUGUCUUCAGGGAUGAUAAUGACGGUACCUGAGGAGGAAGCCACGGCUAACUACGUGCCAGCCGCGGC
rnacentral:rRNA from 1 species